rnacentral:rRNA from 1 species
UGGGCUCGACUAACUCCCAACCCCUGUGACAUACCAAUUGUUGCCUCGGCGGAUCAGCCCGCUCCCGGUAAAACGGGACGGCCCGCCAGAGGACCCCUAAACUCUGUUUCUAUAUGUAACUUCUGAGUAAAACCAUAAAUAAAUCAAAACUUUCAACAACGGAUCUCUUGGUUCUGGCAUCGAUGAAGAACGCAGCAAAAUGCGAUAAGUAAUGUGAAUUGCAGAAUUCAGUGAAUCAUCGAAUCUUUGAACGCACAUUGCGCCCGCCAGUAUUCUGGCGGGCAUGCCUGUUCGAGCGUCAUUUCAACCCUCAAGCCCCCGGGUUUGGUGUUGGGGAUCGGCGAGCCCUUGCGGCAAGCCGGCCCCGAAAUCUAGUGGCGGUCUCGCUGCAGCUUCCAUUGCGUAGUAGUAAAACCCUCGCAACUGGUACGCGGCGCGGCCAAGCCGUUAAACCCCCAACUUCUGAAUGUUGACCUCGGAUCAGGUAGGAAUACCCGCUGAACUUAAGCAUAUCAAAA